rnacentral:rRNA from 1 species
AGUGAACGCUGGCGGUAGGCCUAACACAUGCAAGUCGAACGGCAGCACAGGAGAGCUUGCUCUCUGGGUGGCGAGUGGCGGACGGGUUAGGAAUACAUCGGAAUCUACUCUGUCGUGGGGGAUAACGUAGGGAAACUUACGCUAAUACCGCAUACGACCUACGGGUGAAAGCAGGGGACCUUCGGGCCUUGCGCGAUUGAAUGAGCCGAUGUCGGAUUAACUAGUUGGCGGGGGAAAGGCCCACCAAGGCGACGAUCCGUAGCUGGUCUGAGAGGAUGAUCCGCCACACUGGAACUGAGACACGGUCCAGACUCCUACGGGAGGCAGCAGUGGGGAAUAUUGGACAAUGGGCGCAAGCCUGAUCCAGCCAUACCGCGUGGGUGAAGAAGGCCUUCGGGUUGUAAAGCCCUUUUGUUGGGAAAGAAAUCCAGCUGGCUAAUACCCGGUUGGGAUGACGGUACCCAAAGAAUAAGCACCGGCUAACUUCGUGCCAGCCGCCGCCGUAA